ACAAGUAAAUGAUCACAUAUACAUAGGCAAGAUAUUAACUUGGUAAAAUAGAGCCACUCAGCUGUUUGAGUAGCCUCAUUGAAGUUUUUAAUGAAGUUCUCUUUCUGUUAUUUUAGAACAUCCCUCAUGUUUGCGGGACGGUAUAGUACGGAAAACAUAGUACACAUGCUUCUUGAACUAGGGGUUGAUGUGCUUUCUGAAGACAUUGCUGGACAUUCUGCUAGGGAUUAUGCUCUUCAAAAACGUAAUAUGCAAAAUUACCAACUCAUUUCGUUGUUUCGAGAAAAUGCUGCACUUGAGAAGAUUGUAAAUAGAAAUCCAGAUGAUGAGCAUUCUAAAGAAUAUAGAAAAAGGCUUUUGGAAAUACCUGAUGUUAAUCAUGAACUGCUUAUAUCAUAUGAGGAAGGCCUCAAUUCAUUUGCCAAGAAAGACUUAAUUCCAGGACAUACAACUGCCAUCAUUCACAGUGCACCAGAAGAGCAACCCAAUAACGACAGAAUAACUCGUGUUCAUGGAGUCCAUGAAGAUAACAAAUGUGGAGCAGAAGAUGAAGCUAAAGAAUCAACUUCAGACCCUGAGGAAGGAACGUCAACUAUAGCGGGUAAGAAGAGUAAAAAAUGUUUUUUCAUCACUCAAGUUGCUCCACAACAGCCAAUUAAUAAACAUGGGCUGGACUCUGAUCACGCAUUGGACAAAGAUAACAAACGUAGUAAGGAGUCUACCUCCCAAAGUGAUCCUGAAGACAACAACUCACCAAGGAAUUCGAAGGCAGGAACGUCAGCUGUAGCGGGUAAGAAGAGUAAAAAACGUUUUUUCAUCGCUCAAGUUGCUCCACAACAGCCAAUUAUGAACUCUGAUCACGGAUUGGACAAAGAUAACAAACGUAGUAAGGAGUCUACCUCCCAAAGAGAUCCUGAAGACAACAACUCACCAAGGAAUUCGAAGGAGGAAUCCUCUGCAGAACCUCUAAAGAGGGAAGAAGUUGCAGUGCCUAUCUCCGGAAUAAGUGAUGAAGCUGUAGAAUCACCGUGGGAUUCUGAGGAAGAAACAUCAAGUGGAAAGGGUGAAGGUCGUGCUGCCACUGGAGGUGUCCCAGAAGGAGAUAUUCUGGAUUAUUUCCUGUCAUGUAGUUGGGCAAGGAUAGCCAAAGAGAGAAAAGCGUCAAUGGCAUCAAGUGGAGAUACUGAAAAGGAUGUGGCUGUCAGUCUAAGUGCCCAAGAGCAUGCAAAGGACACAUUAUCUGGUAUUGCUGGAGUGCCAGAAGACAAAACUAUUGAUAUGCCUGGCUUCAGACCAGAUGAUGAGCCUUUAAAAUACUCCUUAAAGUCUGAGGCAGGAACGUCAGCUGUAGCGGGUAAGAAGAGUAAAAAAUGUUUUUUCAUCACUCAAGUUGAUCCACACCAGCUAAUUAUGAACUCUGAUCACGGAUUGGACAAAGAUAACAAACGUGGUAAGGAGUCUACCUCCCAAAGAGAUCCUGAAGACAACAACUCACCAAGGAAUUCGAAGACUAUUUCUACAAAUUCUUGGAAGGAAUCCAUUAAUCAAUCAAUGGCAGCAGAUGCAAAAGGAAAAGAUAUGAAUGAACCACUGGAAGAGUUUGCUAAGGGAUCCACUGAAUUGACGCCUCGUCUGGAAGCAAUACAUCCCUUUUUGGCAACAUCAGUGGGAAUGAAUGAAGUACAAACAUGCAGACAAGUUACAGGCAGAAUCAAGUUAAAACCAAUACCAAAACAUCUCAAGAGGCAUUUCCUUCCUCACUGCAAUACUAAUCAAUAUAAAAGCACAGAACUUGAGUUAAAAAAUGUCAAGUCUUCUCCAACAAAUAAUGACAUUAAAACAGCACCCAAGGAAGAACAAGAAUGGCUUGAUGGAAGUGAAAAUAAGCAGUUUGAAGAAAAAGGGCAGCGUUGCCAAAGUAAGGAAAUGGAAGUGUUAAGAAACUUGCAUGAAAGUGCUGCUCCUCCUGAGGACAGUGAUGGUUGUGGACUGAAUCAGCAGAGACAGAGUGGGGACCUUGACAACCAGCAAUCUGCCACUAAGAAGAGUGAAGAAUAUUAUUCCUGCCCUGCCUUGCAUAUAAAGGAAAUAAAAAAUGAAAAUGAAAAAGUGACUUCCAUGGAGUAUGGGAUUAGACCAGUGUUUGAGAAUGGCUUUUCACUCACUAGAAGUCUACUGCAAGUGAUUUAUGACAACAAUCUGAGUGAGCUCGAUCGUCUUAAAAGGGAACAGUUAAGAAGAAAAGAAAAGCAAUAUCAUAAAGAAGAAGUGAAACAAGAAGAAGUGACACAUAGAACACUAGAAAUGGAUGUGAGGACUUCAAAAAACAAUUUGACCCAGGUAGAUAUGAAACACCUGCAGCAGCAACAGGAUUACAUUGAGAAAAGGCAAUGUAAAUCAGAGGCAUCGCUGAGAGAUAUGGCACAGUUUUACCUUAAGUUAAACAGCAAGAUGCAGGAUAUAAUGAACAAGUUAGAUGAAAUCGUCAGAAAAGUAUGUAUGAUAUCUAGCAUGUCAAUAAGAAUUCUAGAGCUUAGAGUUUCCAAAUACAAAUAUCAUAAGACCCUGCUUUAUUUGAAUAUGAAAAUCUUGGCACAAUUUUAUCAUUAUGCACUUACUUCUUAAACUCUGAUAUCCACUAUUUAUUGUUAUAUUCUUUAUUAAAAUAAUACUCACUGUUAAAAACUUGAGGAAUAUAUAUCAUUUUUCACAGAAAAUGCACAUUUUUCUCAAUAUUUUCAGUGAUAUCAAUUGUCAUGAUAAAACAAGGCAGAUUGAAUCAGAGGAUAAAAUUUAGCAGAAUUCUCAAAAAAUACAUUUCUUGUUUCACUUAUGUGAAUGGAUACAAAACCUAUGUUUAUUGAUCCUGUGUAUUUCAGAAUAAAUUUUCAAAAUACUUUAUACUAUGCUGAAAU
ensembl:lncRNA